GAAGCCUCUGUGGAACUGUUUACAGUGAAACUGAGACUCCACACUAGCAGGAACCAGGAAGCUUCUUUUUCACACAGAUCUUUAACAGAACCCUGAAGCUGCAUGGCACUCCCGCUACCUUUACAGUCAUGUUUGCAGGGUUUCAGGGUUUCUUGGCGACGGCACAUCCAUCUCACUCUGUUCAAGGUAACCCCCCUCUCAGUGAGCCCAGGAUCAGGGCUGCAGAUGGAAAACAAUAAAGCACCUCUGUGGGUCAAA